rnacentral:rRNA from 1 species
CAAUAGCGUAUAUUUAAGUUGUUGCAGUUAAAAAGCUCGUAGUUGGAUUUCUGGGCUCAGUCUUUGGUCCGUCGAAAGAUGUGCACUGACGACUGGGUCCUUUCCUCUCGACGUUCACGGGUGCUCUUAACUGAGUGUUCGUGGGACUCGGGACCUUUACUUUGAAAAAAUUAGAGUGUUCAAAGCAGGCCUUUGCUUGAAUACAUUAGCAUGGAAUAAUGGAAUAGGACUUGGGUUCUAUUUCGUUGGUUUUAGGACCGAAGUAAUGAUUAAUAGGGACAGUUGGGGGCAUUAGUAUUUAAUUGUCAGAGGUGAAAUUCUUAGAUUUAUGAAAGACUAACUACUGCGAAAGCAUUUGCCAAGGAUGUUUUCAUUAA